GUGGGGAAUAUUGCGCAAUGGGGGAAACCCUGACGCAGCGACGCCGCGUGAGUGAUGAAGGCCUUCGGGUCGUAAAGCUCUGUUGCAGGGGAAUAAAAAAAUGAAGGUACCCUGUGAGGAAGGAUCGGCUAACUUCGUGCCAGCAGCCGCGGUAAGACGAGGGAUCCUAGCGUUGCUCGGAAUCAUUGGGCGUAAAGAGGGCGUAGGUGGCUUGGUAAGUCAGGUGUGAAAGCCCAGGGCUCAACCCUGGAAGUGCAUUUGAUACUGCUGAGCUUGAGUGUCGGAGAGGUUACCGGAAUACCUGGUGUAGUGGUGAAAUACGUAGAUAUCAGGUGGAACACCGGAGGCGAAGGCGGGUAACUGGACGAACACUGACACUGAGGCCCGAAAGCGUGGGGAUCAAACAGGAUUAGAAACCCCAGUAGUCC
rnacentral:rRNA from 1 species